AAAAAAAAGAAAAAAGAAAAAAAAGUCUUUAUCAACCACAUUUUCUUUGAAGAGAGUAGUUUAGAGAGACAUCUGUAAGAUAAGUUAAUGUAGAAGCAUCUCAGUAUUGAAUAACUGCAUUCUAUUAAACAGGGUGGGAAACAGGAUCUAAAGAAGAGAACAUUAAACUUCCUUAUUUUCUCUAAUCUGGGGUAAAGAUAUCAGGGUGAGGAAAGCUGGUAGAAAGAAGACAAGAAAGUACUGAGUCUUUAACUUAGAGAUAAAUGCCAGUGAUCAAACACACUGUGAGAGUCUAUGAUCAACCUAUGCCAUACUGACCUCCUCUACUUUAUGUUAUGUAAACUGAUAGAGGUGCAAUAUAUAGGAAAGAGAUAGCCUAAGUUAGCUAAAAACAGUCUAGUGCUGUUGGAGAAGGGAAACAAUUGGAUGUCAUUGUCUCCCAUGAUGCUGCCCCUGGAGAUUACUUGUGCUCCAGUGAAGAGAUUAAACCCAGUGAAGAGAUUAAAUUAUUUUUAAAUUGAUACUCAAUAAUUUUAGUAUAUCAUUUAUCAAAAUAUAUUUUGCUAGCAUAUUUAAUAUUAAUAAUUUUAAUUAAUAUUAAAAAGUAGUAAGUCUGUGUCCAUGAAUUCUCUCUCUUAUCCUGUUAUCAUGAAUCUUUAUUGGCUGUCUGGAGUGGACUCAAGAGACUGUUUUCCAGCCUGGGAGUUUAAAAUUACCUCAGGCAGGAAAAAAGUGAGUACUAGAAAUAAGAAGGAGCAAUAGGAGAAGGAAGACACAAUUCAGCAAUGGAAUUGAAUGAAGAGGAAGAGGAUGAGAAGGAGAAUGGAAGUCAGCAAAUAUGCUCAUCACAUAAGAGACAAUUGUGACAACAUGGAAAACCAAUGACAGGUAAUGAAUAUAUAUUUUCUGAUGAUUCAACUUAACUUUUUCAAUUAUGAAAAAGAUGAGAGCACUAAUAACAAGGCCAAUGACAAUCCACAAAUUAUAAUGCUGUCACAGUUCUUAAUUCACUAUAACUUUGCCUUUUAGUAUAUAAUAUUAAUAUAGACUAUUAUGGGAGUGUUAAUAUUAUUCAUAUAUAAGAACAUCUUGAUAAGUACUGUCUCUUCAGUUACUGAUUAAAGUUAGCUCAUUUCUUAGCUAUCCCAUUAUGUUUAUAGGCCCUUUGAACAAUAGUGAGUGUGGAAGAAGUAUUUUUCAAAGUCAGGGCAAAUGAACUGGUAACAGUGCUAAUGGCCUGUUAACAAAGCAUGAAAAAUUCCUGAAUAAGCCAUAGUGAGGAGCUAGCUCACUGCUGAGGUAAGGGAUAAUUGCUUCCAAUGACCCAUGCACAAAUAAAUAAGACUGAUGUCUAUGUCUGUAUCAGAAUGUUUCAUUCUUCAGGGGAAAUAAUUUACCUGUAAGUCAACAACAACACAUGGCUACAGAAAGGGAUUCUCUAAGCUUAGUAGGAAGUGAUAAUGUAGAUUCAAGCAUAAUGAUUUCAUAGUUGUUUUCUUGUUGUUGAUUUACAGAGAGGAGCAAAUAAUGAAAUGAAGAGAUAUUUCAAUAUUACAAGUCAGUUAAAUCAAAUCAAUGAAGAUACCUCAUUAAUAUAUAAUAAUACAUACAGAUAUUGUAGCAUAUACUAAAGCAAAAGUUCGUCUGCAUUUCUGCUAGGCAAAACCAUACUCACACUGGAUUUGAAGUCAGGAUGAAGAACUACAUGGUGAUUUCCUGAGGGAAGCAAACAACGAGGUUGACCUAAAUCUACAAGAUGAACACUAAUACAGAAGAAAAGCAUUAUCAUUGUAAAAGACAAACAAGUUUAGAAAGUGUGGUAUUCACAUGACUAGAAUGGAAAUAUUAUUCAGCGACAAAGAAUGAAGUAAUGUCAUCAGUGCAAUGAUGGAUGGAACUGGAGGUCACCAUGAAGAGUGCCAUUUACAGCUUUGCUAUUAUCAUAGGACCAUCAAUUUUAAGAAAAGAGAAGAACGUAUAUUCUAUGUUGAGGUAAGAGAUGGUUUAACAUCAUAAAUUGUUUUUCAAAUGAGUAGGCCACAUCUCAUUUUCAUGUAGAAAAUGCUAUGAUAAUAAAGCUCUCAAAGUUGAGGCAUGGGAAUGCUUAAUGAAACUACUUUAAAAAUGUGAAUGAGAGGGCACGAAUAAAUUUUGUGUAAAGCCCUGAAGACCAUGAUCUAAUUGAAUUUCUACCUAUAAAUUCUACAUCCUCAAUUGAACACUACAGCCAGAAAGUCACUAGAAAGUGUAGGUAGUUUUGCAGACACUUAUGAGAAAGGAAUAUUUUGUGUUACAUUGCAGUCAAUCUCAUUUCUAAUUAAAUUAAUGUUAAUGACAGUGAAAUGCAUGCUAACAACAUUUCUACAUUAGGAAAUUUGUUUAGGAUGUGUCACAAAACUGAUGGGCAAAAAGGGAUUCAAUAAUAUUUCCAUCUACUUGUUGCAUAUAUUUGUUGUGCAUCAAGAUUCAUAUUCAG